CCAACAACCACGACCCCAAGGACAACAACCACGACCACUCCAGCCCCAGGCACUGCAGCAAUAAUAUAUCUACAAAUGAAAAUCACCACGUAUGGUGAGCUCAGCAAUGGAACCAUCGCUGAGCGUGUCAAUCAGUUCUUUAGAACGACGCUCCUGAACAGCACAGACCUCACAGUGAAAGUGAAAUCCAUUGAAAGGGUCAGAGUUGCCCCAUAGAAGCUCCAUGGGGACAGAGAUUGUAAAAAAAACAAUUGUACUGGUGGUAUAGUUUUAACACAAUGUAAAAGGGCAAUUCAAUUUUUACAUAAUAACUCCAUCAUUCAAUUUGAAAAGUCCCUAGGAACGGACAAUCACUGAUAAUAAAUACAGGAUGAAAUCAAUAUUUUCAUGUUGGUGUUAUGUUGAACAUCAUGGUGUCAUAUGUGUUCAAGUUCCACUGAAGUAACCUUUUCAUAUGUGUAAAAAUCAAAUGCAUACUGUCCUUAAACACUCACUAAUUGAUGCUCAGCAUUCCAUGUGUGAACUACAACUUCUCACCAAUCAUUGCAAACUAUGACGAGUUGUAAUUAUUUUUGAAGAACUGGUUUGUCCAUCUCCCGUUUUUUUUAUCUUUUCAGUUUUUUUGUUGUGAUACUUGAUUUCGUUUGUAGUGUGUUGUGUAUUUUGUAAACAUGCACGUCUGAUAGCAUACCUGUUUUUUCCGGUUAUAUGACCACAGCCUCUAUCACUGCUACCUUGUCACGCUCUCUGGAGCUGAAGGAGGAGCAAAGCACAACUUCAGCACAUUAGUAAUCAAAGACAAACUACCACUCUGUUCUUGUUGUAGUGAGGAGUAACACCACCCAUCAUGGAAAGAACAAUCCUCUAUUGUAUAUUUUUUCUUGGAUAUUUUCAUGCAUCCUGUACAGGUCAGAAUUCAUUGCAAUUAUUGUCUGCAUUUUAUAAUACGUAAUUUAGGAGAGUAAACUGUAGAGCAGUGGUCACCAGCCUUUUCGAGCCCAAGAUCACUUUUUAAUUCCAACCUUAAGCCGAGAUCUACCAUUACAUUACAUUUCAUUUAGGUGACACUUUUAUCCAAAGCGACUCACAAUA